GGAAGAGUGCAGGAGUGGUUGAACUGGCACGCCUGGAAAGUGUGUAUAGGUGAAAGCCUAUCAAGGGUUCGAAUCCCUUCUCUUCCG
rnacentral:tRNA from 3 species